GCCAGGGAGCAUGCUUCUUUGAGUCUCGUUUCUACCUCAUCUCGGCAGCUUGCUGCUGGAUAAUGAGCUGUCUCAUUCGAAAUGAGUGAGUCGCUUUAAGAAGCGUGAGCUCCAAAACUCCUAGUACAAACAACCUACUGUGUUGAAUUUUGCUGUUACUAGUGACGUGGAUAAAUUUUAUUUUUCAACGUCAUUGGUUUGGCGAUUCGAUCGAUAGGACUGGGUAACCUGGAACUCAACGGAAAUUAAAAUUCUAUUUUUUGAAUUAGAGCUCAAAUGAAGUAAGAUUACCCGCUGAACUUAAGCAUAUUAUUAAGCGGAGGAAAAGAAACUAACAAGGAUGCCCUCAGUAACGGCGAGUGAAGCGGGCAAAGCUCAACCUGAAAAUCGGAUUCCCAAACGGGAUUUCGAAUUGUGGGCUACAGACGCGAGAUCAGCGUGUUACCCUGGUAUAAGUGAGUCUUAUUGGAAUACUACAUCAUAGAGGGUGAAAAUCCCGUCUGUGACCAGGAGUUAGCCGCGUACGAUCCGUGUU
rnacentral:rRNA from 1 species